GACAGAGGAUGCAAGCGUUAUCCGGAAUGAUUGGGCGUAAAGCGUCUGUAGGUGGCUUUUUAAGUCCGCCGUCAAAUCCCAGGGCUCAACCCUGGACAGGCGGUGGAAACUACCAAGCUGGAGUACGGUAGGGGAGACUGGAAUUCCUGGUGUAGCGGUGAAAUGCGCAGAUAUCAGGAGGAACACCGAUGGCGAAGGCAGGUCUCUGGGCCACUACUGACGCUGAGAAGCGAAAGCAUGGGGAGCGAACAGG
rnacentral:rRNA from 1 species